CUCCUCUCUUUCCUCUCUGUCUGCCCCUAGUCUCCUCUGUUCCCUCUCAGUCUGCCCCUAGUCUCCUCUGUUCCCUCUCCGUCUGCCCCUAGUCUCCUCUGUUCCCUCUCCGUCUGCCCCUAGUCUCCUCUGUUCCCUCUCCGUCUGCCCCUAGUCUCCUCUGUUCCCUCUCUGUCUGCCCCUAGUCUCCUCUGUUCCUCUCUGUCUGCCCUAGUCUCCUCUGUUCCCUCUCCGUCUGCCCCUAGUCUCCUCUGUCCCCUCUCCGUCUGCCCCUAUCUCCUCUGUUCCCUCUCUGUCUGCCCCUAGUCUCCUCUGUUUCCUCUCUGUCUGCCCCUAGUCUCCUCUGUUCCCUCUCCGUCUGCCCCUAGUCUCCUCUGUUCCCUCUCCGUCUGCCCCUAGUCUCCUCUGUUCCCUCUCCGUCUCCCCUAGUCUCCUCUGUUCCCUCUCCGUCUGCCCCUAGUCUCCUCUGUUCCCUCUCCGUCUGCCCCUAGUCUCCUCUGUUCCCUCUCCGUCUGCCCCUAGUCUCCUCUGUUCCCUCUCCGUCUGCCCCUAGUCUCCUCUGUUCCCUCUCUGGCUGCCCCUAGUCUCCUCUGUUCCCUCUCCGUCUGUCCCUAGUCUCCUCUGUUCCCUCUCCAUCUGCCCCUAGUCUCCUCUGUUCCCUCUCCGUCUGCCCCUAGUCUCCUCUGUUCCCUCUCUGGCUGCCCCUAGUCUCCUCUGUUCCCUCUCCGUCUGUCCCUAGUCUCCUCUGUUCCCUCUCCCCCUAGUCUCCUCUGUUCCCUCUCCGUCUGCCCCUAGUCUCCUCUGUUCACACUCCGUCUGUCCCUAGUCUCCUCUAUUCCCUCUCCGUCUGUCCCUAGUCUCCUCUGUUCCCUCUCCCCCUAGUCUCAUCUGUUCCCUCUCCCCCUAGUCUCCUCUGUUCCCUCUCCGUCUGCCCCUAGUCUCCUCUGUUCCCUCUCCGUCUGCCCCUAGUCUCCUCUGUUUCCUCUCUGUCUGCCCCUAGUCUCCUCUGUUCCCUCUCUGCCCCUAGUCUCCUCUGUUCCCUCUCCGUCUGCCCCUAGUCUCCUCUGUUCCCUCUCCGUCUGCCCCUAGUCUCCUCUGUUUCCUCUCCGUCUGCCCCUAGUCUCCUCUGUUUCCUCUCCGUCUGCCCCUAGUCUCCUCUGUUUCCUCUCUGUCUGCCCCUAGUCUCCUCUGUUUCCUCUCUGUCUGCCCCUAGUCUCCUCUGUUCCCUCUCCGUCUG
ensembl:lncRNA